rnacentral:rRNA from 1 species
AGUGAACGCUGGCGGUAGGCCUAACACAUGCAAGUCGAACGGCAGCACAGUAAGAGCUUGCUCUUACGGGUGGCGAGUGGCGGACGGGUGAGGAAUACAUCGGAAUCUACUUUUUCGUGGGGGAUAACGUAGGGAAACUUACGCUAAUACCGCAUACGACCUACGGGUGAAAGCAGGGGAUCUUCGGACCUUGCGCGAUUGAAUGAGCCGAUGUCGGAUUAGCUAGUUGGCGGGGUAAAGGCCCACCAAGGCGACGAUCCGUAGCUGGUCUGAGAGGAUGAUCAGCCACACUGGAACUGAGACACGGUCCAGACUCCUACGGGAAGCAGCAGUGGGGAAUAUUGGACAAUGGGCGCAAGCCUGAUCCAGCCAUACCGCGUGGGUGAAGAAGGCCUUCGGGUUGUAAAGCCCUUUUGUUGGGAAAGAAAAGCAGCACGUUAAUACCCCGCUGUUCUGACGGUACCCAAAGAAUAAGCACCGGCUAACUUCGUG